CCUACGGGAGGCAGCAGUAAGGAAUAUUGGUCAAUGGACGCAAGUCUGAACCAGCCAUGCCGCGUGAAGGAUUAAGGCCCCCUGGGUUGUAAACUUCUUUUAUAGGGGACGAAAAAAGGGCAUUCUUGCUCACUUGACGGUACCCUAGGAAUAAGCACCGGCUAACUCCGUGCCAGCAGCCGCGGUAAUACGGAGGGUGCAAGCGUUAUCCGGAUUUACUGGGUUUAAAGGGUGCGUAGGUGGGUUGGUAAGUCAGUGGUGAAAUCUUCGAGCUUAACUCGGAAACUGCCAUUGAUACUAUCAAUCUUGAAUCAUCUAGAGGUAAGCGGAAUAUGUCAUGUAGCGGUGAAAUGCUUAGAUAUGACAUAGAACACCAAUUGCGAAGGCAGCUUACUAUGGAUGUAUUGACACUGAGGCACGAAAGCGUGGGGAUCAAACAGGAUUAGAUACCCUGGUAGUCCACGCCCUAAACCGAUGGAUACUCGACAUUUGUGAUAUACUAUAAGUGUCUGAGCGAAAGCAUUAAGUAUCCCACCUGGAAGUACGACCGCAAGGUUGAAACUCAAAGGAAUUGACGG
rnacentral:rRNA from 1 species